UCGUUGGGUUGUUAUCCCUCGGCCGUGAACGAGGCGCGCCUCGGCGCCCCAGCAGACGCCUCCUGGCCGCGGUCCGAGCAACACGCUGCCCGUUGGAGCUCCCUGACUGCCGGAAAAAAGUAUCAGCAAAUGAAAGUUUCACCUUCAGCAAAAUAGACUACAAACAUCAUCAUCUUCAACAAGUGACUUCAAUUGAAGGUCUACUUAAAAUAAAAGAAGAAAAAUUGAGACAGAAGAGGAAAGCCAAAGACGCAUACGUCGUUUUCAGGAAAGAUUAAGGAAAUGUGAGGUAUGUAGUUAUUAAACAUAUUGUAGUCUCUAGAGUGGAAUAUUGUUGCAAACUAACAACCCUAUUUAAAGCUGGAGUAAUUGCUGACAUGAUUCAUCCUCCUGCUCCCUUGACUCCAUUGUCUUGCUUGCUUUGCCUAUACCCCGUAACCCCAAUUUCACUGAUCCUGGUCUUACUUAGUCUACUGUGUUGUUCUUUGCCUUUGUUUCUCCCUUGUUAUCUCUGCUUCUGUUCUCUAUUUUUGUCUGUCUAUUCUUCAAUGAGAUAUUCAUGAUUUUUAUGCUAACUUUCAUAAACUAACCUUUAACCCUUAAGUUGCACAACACAUCAUAUGAUGGGUUGAGUGACUUGCUAUAAAU